GGCGUUCCCGGUUUUCCAGGUUUAGAGGGAGUCCCGGGUCACCCGGGUCCUGCCGGAGGUCCUGGUUUUCCUGGACUGGACGGAUGUAACGGAACCAGAGGAGAGAGGGGAGAGCCUGGACUUUCAGGAGGACAAGGACCUGAUGGAGAACCGGGUUUUCCAGGACUGAAGGGAUUUCCAGGAGAUCCGGCAUUCUACUUCAUACAGUACCCUGG